rnacentral:lncRNA from 1 species
GAUAGGUCCCAGUCAGAUGCUUGCUAACAAUUGCAAGUAAUAUAGUUGUUCUGCUUUUGGUGAGAACGACCACAAACAAAUAUUUAAGAUAAUUUCUCCAUGCCUUUUAUUUCAGUACUAGAGUUUAUUUAUAACAGCAAGCGUAACAAUACUUUGCUUUGUAACCGAGAUUAUUGGCUCAAAUCUAGUAAAUAAAAUUAAGGAUAAUAUCGCCU